rnacentral:lncRNA from 1 species
AUGAUACCAUGUAUGCCUACGCUCAUGAAAAUUGAAAAUCCUUCAUGUACUAUUAUUUAACUGCAUAAUCUAUUUUGUCUACCAAAUACAUCUCCUUAUACAAUUUCUGCUAAUAUCAUGAAUGCAUGAUUAGAUGUUCGAUCACAACACUGUGUUUAUAAGCACCUGAAUGGCAUUUUGGUCCUGCUAUUUUGAAUUAAAGUAAUGAAUAAGCUAUUUUUUCUGAGAGUAGUCACAUAAUUCGAGAACGUUCCACCAAUCAUAAUUGAAAUAAAAUAAGUGUAGUU